rnacentral:rRNA from 1 species
UAGGGAAUCUUCCGCAAUGGGCGAAAGCCUGACGGAGCAACGCCGCGUGAGUGAUGAAGGUCUUCGGAUCGUAAAACUCUGUUAUUAGGGAAGAACAAAUGUGUAAGUAACUAUGCACGUCUUGACGGUACCUAAUCAGAAAGCCACGGCUAACUACGUGCCAGCAGCCGCGGUAAUACGUAGGUGGCAAGCGUUAUCCGGAAUUAUUGGGCGUAAAGCGCGCGUAGGCGGUUUUUUAAGUCUGAUGUGAAAGCCCACGGCUCAACCGUGGAGGGUCAUUGGAAGCUGGAAAACUGGAGUGCAGAAGAGGAAAGAGGAAUUCCAUGGGGAGCGGUGAAAUGCUCAGAAAUAUGGAGGAACACCAGUGGCGAAGGCGACUAUUUGGUCUGUAACUGACGCUGAUGUGCGAAAGCGAGGGGAUGAAACAGG